rnacentral:rRNA from 1 species
GAUUCCCCUAGUAACUGCGAGUGAAGCGGGAAAAGCUCAAAUUUAAAAUCUGGCGGUCUUUGGCUGUCCGAGUUGUAGUCUGGAGAAGUGUUUUCCGCGCUGGACCGUGUAUAAGUCUCUUGGAAUAGAGCGUCAUAGAGGGUGAGAAUCCCGUCUUUGACACGGACUACCAGUGCUUUGUGAUGCGCUCUCAAAGAGUCGAGUUGUUUGGGAAUGCAGCUCAAAAUGGGUGGUAAAUUCCAUCUAAAGCUAAAUAUUGGCGAGAGACCGAUAGCGAACAAGUACCGUGAGGGAAAGAUGAAAAGCACUUUGGAAAGAGAGUUAAACAGUACGUGAAAUUGCUGAAAGGGAAACGAUUGAAGUCAGUCGCGUUGUUUGGAACUCAGCCUUGCUUUUGCUUGGUGCACUUUCUGAAUGACGGGCCAGCAUCAAUUUCAGCCGUUGGAAAAAGGCUGGGGGAAUGUGGCACCUUCGGGUGUGUUAUAGCCUCUGGUCACAUACAACGGUUGGGAUUGAGGACCGCAGCGCGCCGUAAGGCAGGGGGUUUCCCACUUUCGCGCUUAGGAUGCUGGCAUAAUGGCUUUAAACGAC